rnacentral:rRNA from 1 species
UACGAAGGGGCUAGCGUUGUUCGGAAUUACUGGGCGUAAAGCGUGCGCAGGCGGCCUUCCAAGUCAGGGGUGAAAGCCCAGAGCUCAACUCUGGAAUUGCCUUUGAGACUGUGAGGCUUGAGUACGGGAGAGGUGAGUGGAAUUCCCAGUGUAGAGGUGAAAUUCGUAGAUAUUGGGAAGAACACCGGUGGCGAAGGCGGCUCACUGGCCCAAACUGACGCUCAUGCACGACAGCGUGGGGAUCAACAGG